GCUGUUUUGUGUGUGUGUGUACAAUUGGUUUUGUGAGGCAUUUUCUCCUCUACCCCAACAAUUAUCAAGACAACACAUAGAUUAAAAAAGAGAAUUUUGUAUAUUCAGUUUUAUUAAAAUAGGUAGAAGUAGAAGGGGUAAUCACAAAAACCUUGUCUUCAUUUUUUUCUUUCAACUAAGAAGGGACAUUCUCAUGGCCGCUAUCUGAUGGUCUGAACAAGUAAGUCUUUGAGCAAAUCUGGAUCUUCUAACAUGGGACAUGUAUUUGCCUACUUGUGCAACCUAUUGUAGGAUACCUGCUUUAGCAGGGAAGUUGGACUCAAUCUCUUGAGGUCCCUUCCGAACUCCACUUUGUGAUUAUGUAUGGUAUAUUGUUUCCUGGUUGCAGGAAGUAUUGCAGUUCAGACUGUCUGUUUUGAUGAUGGGAAUCUUUACUAUAUUUGCUUACACUUGAUUUUUUUGUUUGGAAGAAAUUCAACAGUGCUAUAUAGAAGAUUUCAAAGGCUGCUUACAAGUCUGUUACCUGUAAAUCAAUACCUUCAGCACCAUGUCAGACACAUCAGCUGCAGCAGGCAAUGGCUACAAGCUUUUUUUGUUCCUGCUCAGUGGAACUGCAGGCCAUGGAAACAUUACCAUUCUCAGCACACUAUCAUGCCCAGACUCAUCAGCUGAAGCAAUAAUCAUAUCAUCAGCAAUUAUGUCUUUCCUGGAAGUAUCACCAAGUGACUCAUAAGUCUGCCUGCAAUAUUUCAUGGACACAUUUAAUCUCAAAUGUUAAUCUAGAAAACUGAAUUUGUCCUCCUGGAGUGUUAGAGGUACCUAAAAAGGGACAUGCCUAUGUAAUUUAACCUGCUAGGAUCCAUUUUUCUUAUCUGAAACUAUAAAAAGUUACUUGGCUACUAAUUGAUGUUGAAAAUCUUCUGAUGUAAGUUAGCAGUAAUGAUAGACAUAGCGCUAUUUAAUCUUCCAUUAUGAAACAUACUCUGUGAGUCCCUGUUCUUCACUUUUUUCUUGCACCAUUCAAACUGCUGAUGCAUUCACUAAUGAUACCAUCUUUCUCAGUUCUUUACUGGCUAAGGACAAUAUUUUGCUGCCUUUAUUUGCUCAAACCGUAUUUUAUUGCAUAAAUAGUUGCCUUAACCUUUCUGUUGAUCAUAGUGAAACUACUCAUAUGGCUUACCAAUUGGACUUUAGGUAUUCUUAGUGCAGCAGAAGUUAUCUUACUGCAGCCACAGACCCCACAUACAACCUUAAUUUCAACGUAAAGAUGAUUAGACUCUCCAGUUCCUUUGAAUAUAUCACAAUAAACUAUGACCAUAUCCUCUGUGGGUAUUAAUU
rnacentral:lncRNA from 1 species